rfam:Ciona savignyi cont_26663, whole genome shotgun sequence.
GUCGUCGUGGCCUAGUGGUUAAGGCGACAGACUUGAAAUCUGUUGGGCUCUGCCCGCACAGGUUCGAAUCCUGUCGGCGACG